AGACAGGGGACCAGUCGUGACCUGCCGGCUGUUGCACCCCUGCGCCAUGAAGCUGACGCUGCUGCUCGCGCUGGUCGCUGCCGGCCUGGUGCUGGCCUUUGCCCAGGAUGCUGUUCCUGAUUCCUCUGAGGAGGUCCCCGAUGUGUCCGUACCCGUCGCCGAGGACCAGGACGGCGCUGACCUGGACGGAGCCGAGACCUUCUUCUUUUGAAGCACCUGUUCCGGCCCUCGGUACUAUUCUUACCACAGGCCUCGCUACUUCUACAGGUCGUACCGGCCUCACUACGGCUACUACGGAUAGUCGUGAUCAGUGGGCGAGGCGAUCUGGCAUCAUGUGACACCUGACGCGAUCACCAACUAUCCACUGCCGUGCUGGAAACGGCCUGACGUUGUGGUAGCUUUCAUCAUUCGCGCUUUUUCGUGCGUGCUUCUGGCGUUAAUUGCUUGGAGUCUUCAGUGCUGCGAAUACAUGCGUUUAAUAGCAA